ACAAUUUUUUAUGCUUUGUGGUUUUGCAUUUUUUUUUCAGCCUGUUUUUUUUAAAUGCCUUUUCAAGACUGUCAUCCGUUCUUGUGGGCGAAUGAUCUCCAAGUGCUUUGAGGAAUCCACUUGGUUUAUGUAAUAAUCCAAUCUGGCAAAAUCUAUUCUCAAGUAGCAUUGGAAUUGCAUUUAAGUAAUCUGGUUGUGUAGUUGAAUUCUCCUUAGUUGUGGUCUUCUGAUGGAUAAAAGAAACUCCAAGACGGAAG